rnacentral:rRNA from 1 species
GAUAAACGCUGGCGGCGUGCCUAACACAUGCAAGUCGAACGCCCUUUUGCGCAAGUGAGAGGGAGUGGCGGACGGGUGAGUACCACGUGGGUACCUACCUUGAGGUGAGGAAUACCACCGAGAAAUCGGUGACAAGACCGCAUACGCUUGGCAACAAGCAAAGUCUCGCAAGAGACGCCACAAGAUGGGCCUGCGCCUGAUUAGCUAGUUGGUGAGGUAAUGGCNCACCAAGGCGACGAUCAGUAGCUGGUCUGAGAGGAUGGAUCAGCCACACUGGGAUUGAGAACGG